UUCCUUUGCGGACUAUGGAAGUCGCUGCUGCCCUUACACAUCCCAUCCUCUUGACAGCAUCUGGAAUCUGACACUAUGAAACUGGGGCCUAAAUUGCAAUGGUCAUCCCGCGUGGUAGAGAUACAGGGAAUACAGAACGCAUCCUAAGGAAAGCUGAACCCAGUGGAGCCAGCCCAAAGUGAUGCAGCGCCAUCCGGAUGCCACCUCCAUGAAGCCCGCAGGGUAUGUUUGCCACCAGCUAUGGGAAGCACGUGACUCGAGCUUCACUUUCACGGUUGCUCGCGGCUAAGACGUAGCUCUGAGUUUCAGAAGAGACUCUGGAUUUGGAUUUCUGAAUGGCGUUGGGACUGUGACCUCAAGAAGACCUGGAUACCGCGAAAAGACCGUGUUUUACCAGAUUCACUGCACCAUUCGAAAUCUUCUGAGAUCAUAAAUAGACAAAGAAUUACUCCCAGGCUCCUCCCACCAGUGGUGAAGAUGUUCUGAAUGCCUCUGCUUUCUUAUUUUCUCUCCCACCCCUAACAAGGACACUUUAUUGGUAGAACUGGGGAAUCCUCACCAUACAUAGUUUUUGUAGCUUUUUUGGAAGCAAUAUUAUGAUUAAGAAAAUAAAAAUUACAUGAAGAAUAUUUAGUGAUUAUAAACAUUUUUGCUAGUUA
rnacentral:lncRNA from 1 species